UUGUGGAAUGUACACUCAAUGUUUUUUAUUGAUACAUUAUUCAAAUUCUCUGUUUGUAGUUUUAAAUGAUUGUCCUUUUGAUGUUCGCAAUGUUUUCUGUCAAUCGAAUGCUAGAAAAACCUUAUAAAGAUGUCUAGCCAAAUGGGUUUAUGGUGGGAGGGGCUUAUUUAUUUGAGCACACAGGGAAACCAUUGCGCUCUUAACACAAUUCCAAACCGAUCUCUACGUCCUGGAGUUGGAUGAAGUUGCCCCUAGACAAUGGGGCUUUUUGACCCUAAUGGUUAGGACUAGGGGAUGUUAAGAUUAUCCUAGAUCUGUUCUCAGAAGGGUCAUUUAUAACCCAGAGCCCACAUCGCUGUCAUAGUGCCUUGUCCUUAAAUUCUAAUGUACUUGGACAAUUCCAAGAAAUCAAAUUCUGGGGGGUGGUUUAUUUAUAGAUGGUAUAAUUAUAGAUAUUCUAUAGUAAUGUCUUAUUGUUAAUAGAAAUAUAUAUGAUGUGUCUUGGGAGGGGGUUGAAAUUGAGGACUGUUUUGAUUGUUUUUUUUGCCUUGAUACCAUUUGUAGUAAAACUAAGCAUUUUGUUUUUUACAGUAUUUCCUAUGACUACAGCCAGAUAACAAUGUUAUAUUUUAGUUUGUUUUGUAGAUAUUCUGGCCUCUUGAUUUCUUUAUUUUGAAUCUCUAUAUGGUACAAUUUAACAUUUUGGCCACAAAUACAUUUAGGAAGGCAUGGUCAGAUACACAGAGGUGUGUGUGUGUGUGUGUGUGUGUGUGUGUGAGAGAGAGAAUAUCCUUGCCAAAUGCACACCCGGUUGAUAUGUAUGAUGACAAUAGUUAAGCAUCAUAAUGGCACAAAAAGUCAGACAUACAGGACUGGAGAAAGUCUGACUUACUUUGGUGGUGAAGAAGUGAAUAUACAUGAGUAAAUUAGAAUACUAUUGUUGUAAGCUGUGCUGAAUGGAAAGAGUGUCACAAAUUACUUCAAUGAUGAAUAUGAAAAAGACAGUUCCAAAAUGGCCUUAUGAUGUGGUUUUUAAAGAUGUCUUCUCAGAUUAAAAGGUUGCCC
ensembl:lncRNA